rnacentral:rRNA from 1 species
CACGUAGGGGGCGAGCGUUGUCCGGAUUUAUUGGGCGUAAAGAGCUCGUAGGCGGUUUCGUUAGUCGGGUGUGAAAACCCCAGGCUCAACCUGGGGACGCCACCCGAUACUGCGAUGACUAGAGUCCGGUAGGGGAGUGUGGAAUUCCUGGUGCAGCGGUGAAAUGCGCAGAUAUCAGGAGGAACACCGAUGGCGAAGGCAGGUCUCUGGGCAUUAACUGACGCUGAGGAGCGAAAGCAUGGGGAGCGAACAGG